AACACAUUAGUUACUUAACCAAUAAGUCUUCAAACCACCAAAAUCACUAAGGGCACUAGAUGCACUUACAAAAAUGCUAGUACAACAUUAUAGGUGAAAUAAUUAAUUUACACACUUAUGCAAAUAUAUAAAGACAUGAGGUCUUGGAAUGAGAUUUUGCCCAUUAUACAAUGGUGUAAAAUUAUGUUCUACGAAAUUUAGGAUGACGUGUGUUUCUCCCAUAUAUAUUUUUCUAAACCCAAGAGCUUAGAAUAGAGAUAAUAAAAACCAAAGAGUUAAAGUGUUAAAAUAGUAAGCCUGAGGGCUAAACUACAAAGUCUAAUUAAUCUGAUGGCUCAAUUCACGUUUCUGUAGAUAACAGAAAAUGGAAGGACUAAUCGGAAGAAUGGGAAAGAGAUAAGGUCCCUAUCCCUUUGUGUGUGAGUGUAUGGAUGUUAAUCGAUCUGAUUGAAUCCUUAGCUCCAAUUCAAUGCAGCGACCAUCGCCUUGCAUCUGGUCGCCUCAUACGCUGAACGGCGCCGCGCUGGAGCCACCGCCACGUCUUGCCGGUGUAGGUUGGUCAUGGCCCUCGCCACCAUCACAGGCCGUUGGCCGUGCGCCCGCUUCCCGUUGCCGCUGAUGCCGGAGGGCGUCAAGCCAGGCCAUCGCCUUAGCAAAUCAUGUUGAGGGAGGCCCGACGCUUCUGCCGCACCUUGGCGGGACGUCGUCGCGAGGAGCAGCCUGGCCGAAGGAUGCAUCCACUGGUGUCGCCGUCGGAGUUUUGCUUUGGACAGCAUUGAUAUGCCGCCCUGGAGGGAUGCAUGAUCUUCUUUGCCAUGAAGAUGGAGGGGCUGUUGAGACUGCUAGAGUUGUUGCCUCGAUCCUUGCCGGGGAUGGUACCGUUCAUGGCUUGACGCUGAGAAUUCCAUCAUCGGACGAUCGUCAUGCGCCGACCGUAUUGCCACUAGAUGCGAGAGAUAGCCUUGGCGCCUUGUCACUGUUAGGCUGCCUCCCCUUCGCUUUCUUAUUGUGUUGUGUUGGCCAAAACGCUCUCGGGUACGAGCGUGCUGAUAAUGUGUGAAGAGAGGAAGCGCAAAUGACAGGAACAGUUGCUUUCAUUGAUGAAUUUAUGGGUAUAUAUACCCUGAUA